AACUCAUGUAGAUAAAAGCCAACCAAGAACCAAGAAAGUUGAUGAUGCCAAGAGUGCAAUGCUUUGAGCUCUCAACGAGUGAUACUAUCAAGCAACUCACUUGAGAGCCCCCCUUGAUAGUACGACAAUCUAUCCUAUAACCCGGUCUCCCAACUAACACACCGAGACCAGUAAAAUAGAAAACCUAUCAAGGACAAACUUUUGCCUUGCGCAUAGUCCACUUGAGCUAAAUGAAGAUGAU
rnacentral:lncRNA from 1 species